rnacentral:rRNA from 1 species
UACGUAGGGUGCGAGCGUUAAUCGGAAUUACUGGGCGUAAAGGGUGCGCAGGCGGCUCCGCAUGUCGGGCGUGAAAUCCCCGGGCUUAACCAGGGAAUUGCGUCCGAAACUAUGGAGCUGGAGUGUGGCAGAGGGAGGUGGAAUUCCACGUGUAGCAGUGAAAUGCGUAGAGAUGUGGAGGAACACCGAUGGCGAAGGCAGCCCCCUGGGUCAAGAUUGACGCUCAUGCACGAAAGCGUGGGGAGCAAACAGG